rnacentral:rRNA from 1 species
UACAGGGGGGGCAAGCGUUGUUCGGAAUUACUGGGCGUAAAGGGCUCGUAGGUGGCCAACUAAGUCAGACGUGAAAUCCCUCAGCUUAACUGGGGAACUGCGUGUGAUACUGGAUGGCUUGGAUUUGGGAGAGGGAUGCGGAAUUCCAGGUGUAGCGGUGAAAUGCGUAGAUAUCUGGAGGAACACCGGUGGCGAAGGCGGCAUCCUGGACCAAUAUUGACGCUGAGGAGCGAAAGCUAGGGGAGCAAACGGG